rnacentral:rRNA from 1 species
AGCUCCAGUAGCGUAUAUUAAAGUUGUUGCAGUUAAAAAGCUCGUAGUUGGAUUUCUGGCUUGGCGCGUUUGGCCCGCUCCGGUUACGGAUGUGUGAUGCCUACGCGCGCCUGCCAUCCUUCUAGAGAACGUUUCUACCCUUCAGUGGGCCGGAUUCGCAAUCUAGAUCUUUUACUUUGAAAAAAUUAGAGUGUUUAAAGCAGGCUUGUGCUAUGAAUACAUUAGCAUGGAAUAAUAAUUUAGGACUUUAGUUCUAUUUUGUUGGUUUCUAGAACUGAAGUAAUGAUUGAUAGGGAUAGUUGGGGGUGCUAGUAUUCAGCGGCCAGAGGUGAAAUUCUUGGAUUCGCUGAAGACUAACUUAUGCGAAAGCAUUCACCAAGGAUGUCUUCUUUA